rnacentral:lncRNA from 1 species
CUCUAUAAUAAUAGCCUACUCUACGUCCAAUACCAACUAGUAUUGGAGACUUACUUUUAUUUCUUUAAAAGACUCUUGUUACAAAUUAGAUUCUAUAAAACUGAAUUACAAUAAUUCACUUGAGCACUCUUGCUCCUUGUGCACCAAUGCACCCCUUAAGCACCUAUGCUUCCUUGAACCUGUUUGUAAACAAACCUUAAUCCACCUGGAUUAAAUUCCUUUAGACAACACUUAGUCUAAAAAAUUAAGAUUACAAUAAUAGAGGUCUAAUGAUCAAAGCAAAUAAACAAUUUAACAAUGCAAGGCUCAACUAAUGAAUGCAAUGAUCAAGUAGAAAGAGUAAAAGAUAUCACCAAUAUUAUGCCCACGAAAAUUGCUGAUAAUUAAUCUGAGUAUAAAAGCACAACAGCUGGAAAUUUUGCACUGAAAAUAAUGAAAUAACUUCUCAAGUACGUAAGUGCAAUAAUUCAAGCGAUGUAAGUGUUGUGUUUUCUACUGAAAUCAAUUCUUCUUUUUAUAGCCCAAAAAAAAAUAACCGUUGUGAAAAUAUUUUCGUUGCUAAUUUGUUCCGUUAUAACCAACAGAUUCAAAGAGAUAAAUAACAUUCCAAUAUUAUUCCCGUUAAUGGCUAAGAAAUAUCAAAAAUCAAUUAUCUUCGGUAGUUACAAAGAUGUGUUGGACUCUUUCAAUAAUAAUCCAAAAUUGAGUAAGUCAGAUACAACAAGUACUUCAAGAUUUUUUAAUUCCCAUAAAGUCUGCGGCCAACUGUUAUCAUGAUAGUAACGUAACAAAUUCCAACUCUUCAAGGAUAAUCAUGAUUUCCUAUUUCCAAGGUAUGUGCUAAUUAAAACUCUACCGCCAUAUAUAAUACUAUUUACCAAGAUAUGUGCAAUUAAACUUCUAACAAAUAAUGAUCACACCUCAGUCGGCACAAACACCUUUUAAGUUACCAGCACAUGUAAAACUCAAUUUAUUUGGACAAAAUUUUUACGCAUGCAUGCUAACAAAAUAAGAGAAGUUCUCUUAAUAACAAAUAGCAAUGAAUAACAUAUUUUAGACAUGCACAUUUAAUUCACAUUUUAAUGCACACAUAAAAUGUCCUAGAGCCUUGUAUUGAAAAAUUAAAUAUUUGCAAUGACCUUACAUAUUUUGCUUAAGACCCAAAUCUGCCUUUAAUCUUCUUGAAUAAUCCAUCAAGCAAUUCUCCUGAAAUUCACAAUAAAGAAUUUAGUACCAAUGAACAAGUCAUCAUCAAAACAUUAGGUUAUUUGAACGUGAUAUAAUCAACAGAUGGCAUGAAAUAAAGAUCCCAACUGCUGCCCACGACAGCAGCAACAGCUAUGUAUAACAUUAAUUGGGGCUUCCCUUGAUGCUCUAGAUUAGCACUGUUAGACUUCUAAGUCUGCCCAAGUAAUAUUUCUCCGCAAUAAGGGUAUAUACUAGUAUGUAAUACCCAAGACUUAGUGCAAAAAGGGUCGAGAAGGAGGAGAAUAAGGUGAAAGGAGUUGUUGCCCAGUGGCAGCAGCAUGUACCAGCAGCAGUGAACAUGAUGGUUAUGGGCUGGGAGCUUUAUUUGGUUUUCAGUUGGUACGCUUAUAUGCCUAUAGAUGCUCAAUUGCUGGGUCUUUAUUAUAAGCUAAAGUAUCAUCUAUUUUGGAUUUUAAAAUCAAAGCUAUGCAUGUUAAAUGUUAUGAAAAAGGUUAGUCAAAACUCAUGUAUUGCACAACCAUGCUAUUUUGUUAACUAGGUUGUCAAACCGGGCUUUCUUGUAGAAUUUAAAGAACCUAUUAUGGGCUGCUUUGAACUAAAGCUAGAAAUCUUGCAUUAAUGUUUUAAACCAUGAACAUAUAGUAUAUUGCAGGUUCAUGUUGUAAUAAUGCAUAUACUUGAAUGUUGGGAACUGUUUUGGGGAAAUGGUGCUAAGUCAUGCGUAUAAUGCUUAGAUAAAGGCUGUUUUGGGUAUGGAGAGAUUGAGCUCAGUUUUCAAACAUACUAGAGUAUGUGUUUAUGAGUUUUCAUGGUGAUUUAAGGUUUAUAGGAAUGCUUAAAGACCAUAUGUGUUCUAUUGUGGAUUGUUGGAGAUUUGGUAGCCAAAACUGUGCCUAUAAGGGACUGUUAUGGCCAAUUUGUGCAACAUAUAUUGUUAGACAGUGAGGUGUACAUACAUUGCCUAUAAAUAACAUGUAAAAAUGGUUCCCUAUGUUAGUUAAGGUCUACAAAAAAGUGAGUUGUGUAAUUUCAUGCUUAAAAAGAAAUGAAAAUAAGCUUUACAGAACAAUGAACACUAAAAUAAUGAACCGCCAUACCUGGACCCCAUACAAAAGUUUCAAUAGUCAUAAUAGGACAUGAGAAAGUUACACAAACUAAAGGAACCAAGCCUAAACCAUUUUGAGCACGAGACUUGUUAAAAAUCACAUUUUGAAAGCCAAAAGAGGACUUUUUUGGGCAAUUCAUAGUACCUGAACGUAAGGGAUUGUUAUGAGCUUAUAUAAAGUUUCUCAUACAUGCUAGUAAUGAUUCACAAACAUGGUCAUGACUAAAUCUAGCAAGAAAACCAAUUUAAGAUCUCUUUUUCAAGCCUAAAGUUGAUAGGUCAAAAUGGGCUAGAUGAUUAAAUAAGGUGUGGUGAUGCUAAAAAUAUCCUUAAAUAACUUAACUAGACAUGCCUAGACUAUCCUAGUGGCCAAAACUAUAAAACUUUGGAAAGAGUUCAAAAACAGUCUUGUAAAUAAAGUAAGAAAACUGCUAAGUUUGAGCCCUAUUUUGGGAAGCUUAAUGGGCAUGAACAAGAAACCUAAACCUUGAUUAAAAUACCUUAAAGUAUGGUCUAGAAGUAGGGCCAAGUGGUUAAACUCUUGGCUUAACCAAGAAGUUUAAACAAAUCACCAAACUAGCAUGGAAAAUCACUAAAACUGCAGUUUUUGCAAAUUUGUGUAAGUAUAAAAAUUUGAGAUUUUUCCAUUUGGCCUAGAACUCAGUUUGGACACCUUAGACAAAUAAGUUAGAGUUAUGCUAGGCUAUUCCAAGCGUUGGAAUGCUAAUGUAUAUAAGAACUUGAGAAGUUAGUGUGUAAAAGCUUGAAAAAGCUCGGUUUGUAGGGUCAAAACCCAAUCUAUGCUUAGUAAACUUAAAUGAAUGCUAGAACUAAUCCUAACUAGAUAUAAUUCAAGUGUUGGAAUGAACCAAAGUGGCUAGAAAUGAAAUUGGCAAGAAUUAACCAAAACUAGUAAACUCAAAACUAUGAAUAGUGGCCUAGUUUGGGCAUUAGUUUCAAGAAACAUAAAGAGGCUUACCUAGAAAUCUAAACCAACACAAAAUACCACAGUUAAUGGUAUUGAGAUUGGCAGAAAUAAGGUACACACCUUAUUCAGAAUCCAAGAUCAAAACUCGGCAAUUUGUCAGUUACAUGCUUGUUGGGACUCUUCCAUUCAACAUCACAAGGGUCUGAAGCUUCAUUACAUCUUGAACCGAUUCCAAUGUCAUCUGCACAAGCCUACACCGAAAGAAUUGCAAAUAGGA